UCCGGUUUGUCACCGGCAGUCUCCUAUGAGUCCCCAACUGAAUGCUGGCAACAUAGGACAAGGGUUGCGCUCGUUGCGGGACUUAACCCAACAUCUCGCGACACGAGCUGACGACAGCCAUGCACCACCUGUGCAGGGCCCUUGCGGACACCGCAUCUCUGCGGCUUUUCCCUGCAUGUCAAACCCAGGUAAGGUUCUUCGCGUUGCCUCGAAUUAAGCAACAUGCUCCGCUGCUUGUGCGGGCCCCUGUCAAUUCUUUUGAGUUUUAGCCUUGCGGCCGUACUCCCCAGGCGGGGCACUUAAUGCGUUAGCUCCGGCACGGGAGGAGUCGACACCUCCCACACCUAGUGCCCAUCGUUUACGGCGUGGACUAC
rnacentral:misc_RNA from 1 species